rnacentral:rRNA from 1 species
UACGUAGGGUGCAAGCGUUGUCCGGAAUUAUUGGGCGUAAAGGGCUCGUAGGCGGUCCAUCGCGUCGGGGAGUGAAAAGCUGGGGCUUAACCCCAGUCCUGCUUCCGAUACGGGUGGACUAGAGGUAUGCAGGGGGAGAACGGAAUUCCUGGUGUAGCGGUGAAAUGCGCAGAUAUCAGGAGGAACACCGGUGGCGAAGGCGGUUCUCUGGGCCUUACCUGACGCUGAGGAGCGAAAGCGUGGGGAGCGAACAGG